AUACCGGCCUGGCUUGGUUUAUGUAUACCAAGAAUGUUCAGCUCCAUCCUAUAUUGGAACUCAUCACCAACCUCAACCCCAGGCACUUCUCCCAAAAUAUGCACACCAGAGUUGAGAAAUUUGCCAUUCCUUUUGAGAAUGGUCGAAGCCUCAAAAUCUAUUCUAAGACCUUUACCUUUUCUCCUUUGGUCCUCAGGCUUUGCUUCAUCCUCCUGCAGAAUCUUUCUGCAAACGCCAUGGAAAAGACGUAGAGUUUCCUUUACUUUGUUCCGACUACUAUCACCGCUGCUUGAACCGCUGCUUGUCCCAACACCUAGUAUCCGAAGCUGCUCAGGAGAAUCCAGACUUUCCCUAUCACGCCAAUAUAAAUUCUUCUUACUCUUCUUCUUCCUAGAUCCUUCACCAAACUCUCGGCUAACAACCUUCAAGGAUGAAUGACAUGCAAUUCCUUUCUUUGCCUUCUUUCUACCCGCAACAAGCCUCGGUUUUGCAACUGCAACAUCUGACAUUUCAAUUUCUAGCGGCUGAGUUUGAUCCAAAUUAUCCAUUCCUAGACUGCUCUCAUCUGCGUAAACAACGAUAUCCCUGACAAUGUUUUCAGUUCCGCUGCUGCUGCUAACACCAGAACCCGCCACAAUCUGUUCACUGUUUGAACACUCGUCUCCCGCGGUAACAGACAAGUCUCUUACCACAUCACCUCCUGGCAAACAAAUUCUCAGAGGCUGAACCUCCACCGGCUCAGCCAUUCUGAUAUCACUCACGUUUUCAGAGGCAUCUCUCUGCCCCAAACUCUCCUCCUCUUUAACCAAAGACUCAACAACCUUAACAUCUUCAACAACAUUCCCAUUCUCACAAGCAAUCUUCACUUCCAUUGCUCUCGAACCACAACCCGGUGGAAAGUCCCUCACAGCAAAAACCUUCCGACGCUUAAACUUAAGCCCACUCAUUCGAUCAAGCUUGCAAACACCACCAUUCUCCAAAACUGACACUCCUCGUUUCUCCACCUCACCAUUGCUCUGAGACUUAACCUUUGAUAUCUCCGUAUGUACCAUCAAAUUCUCCAUAACUCCCAUUUCCAUUCACAAUCUAUCAACAAACAACAAAACAUCAUCACUAUAAACAGAUUGUUAAACCACA